UAAUCCGAUAUGUCUACUGCUGCUUUAGC
rnacentral:sRNA from 1 species